rnacentral:sRNA from 1 species
GGUGAAUUACGCGGCGGGGCUGUCGCCGUACGCGGACAAGGGCAAGUGCGGCCUUCCCGAGAUCUUCGACCCCCCAGAGGAGCUGGAGCGGAAGGUGUGGGAACUGGCGAGGCUGGUCUGGCAGUCCUCCAAUGUGGUGUUCCACACGGGUGCCGGCAUCAGCACUGCCUCUGGCAUCCCCGACUUCAGGGGUCCCCACGGAGUCUGGACCAUGGAGGAGCGAGGUCUGGCCCCCAAGUUCGACACCACCUUUGAGAGCGCGCGGCCCACGCAGACCCACAUGGCGCUGGUGCAGCUGGAGCGCGUGGGCCUCCUCCACUUCCUGGUCAGCCAGAACGUGGACGGGCUCCAUGUGCGCUCAGGCUUCCCCAGGGACAAACUGGCAGAGCUUCACGGGAACAUGUUUGUGGAAGAAUGUGCCAAGUGUAAGACGCAGUAUGUCCGGGACACAGUCGUGGGCACGAUGGGCCUGAAGGCCACGGGCCGGCUCUGCACCGUAGCUAAGGCAAGGGGGCUGCGGGCCUGCAGGGGAGAGCUGAGGGACACCAUCCUAGACUGGGAGGACUCCCUGCCCGACCGGGACCUGGCACUCGCCGAUGAGGCCAGCAGGUGUGACCCCCCCACCCCCAGGGAGCCCAUGGUGGGGCAGGGUGGGACGACGGCAGAAACACAGCCAGCUCCAGCACGGGACAGUGGCUGAGGCUCAGAGGCAGUCAGG